UGGGGGAUAUUGCACAAUGGGCGAAAGCCUGAUGCAGCGACGCCGCGUGGGGGAUGAAUGCUUUCGGGUUGUAAACCUCUUUCGCUAUCGAACAAGGCCCGCUUAGGGUGGGUUGAGGGUAGGUGGAGAAGAAGCGCCGGCUAACUACGUGCCAGCAGCCGCGGUAAUACGUAGGGCGCGAGCGUUGUCCGGAAUUAUUGGGCGUAAAGGGCUUGUAGGCGGCUUGUUGCGCCUGCUGUGAAAACGCGGGGCUUAACUUCGCGCGUGCAGUGGGUACGGGCAGGCUUGAGUGUGGUAGGGGUGACUGGAAUUCCAGGUGUAGCGGUGGAAUGCGCAGAUAUCUGGAGGAACACCGAUGGCGAAGGCAGGUCACUGGGCCAUUACUGACGCUGAGGAGCGAAAGCAUGGGUAGCGAACAGG
rnacentral:rRNA from 1 species